UGCCAUGUGGCCAUAGUGGAGAGGUAAUACCCGUUCCCAUCCCGAACACGGAAGUCAAGCUCUCUUACGCCGAUGAUACUGCAGAUUAUGCGGGAAAGUAGGUUGCUGCAUGGCU
rnacentral:rRNA from 1 species